GUUCUGAUCAGGUUCAGGUUCUGAUCUGGUUCUGGUUCUGAUUCUGAUCAGGAUCAGGACUCACGCGGCAGGCUGGUGGACACGUGGACCUGACCUGGUUCUGGUUCUGGUUCUGGUCCAGAGUCUCGGUCAUUUCUGGGUUUGUCUACCAGCAGAAACAUUUCCAAACUUUUAUCUCCUGAGUUUUUCCGCUUUGUUACAUUUUUUCCUGCAGCAGUGAAAUUUAACUAAGGAUAUGAAUAAAUCCCAUUUUAAUUUUUCCAUUAAAAUUCUGGUUCUGGAGAUUUUCCUGUUUUCAUAGAUUUGAUGAAUUUAUAUCUAAUAUUGAAAUGUUUAGUUUUAAUCAUUUCUACUUGUGUUUUUUUCUUUUUUUGCUAACGAUGGACCAGAAAUUAAUCUGCAGCAAUGAGGAAAUGUUUUGGAUUAGAACUGUAACGAUUAAUCCGAUUAAUUGGUUAAUCGAUUAUUGAAAUAAUCAUCAACUAGUUUAGUUAUUAAUUGUUUCCUGGAAAACACAGGAAGCAGAACGCAUCCAGAGCAUAUGAAUCAAAACUCUAAACAUUUUGCAUUUGAUCUGUUCAGAGCUCCUGGUUCACAUCAUCCAGUUAUGUAAAAAAGAAAAGAAAAAAAGCUACAAAAUCGACGUGUGAAAAGUUGAGCUGAACAUCAACACAGUGAUUAAUAACUGGAUAGAAAAAUAUGAUUUAUGGAAGAUUUUUAAAUGAAUUUGAA